rnacentral:rRNA from 1 species
UGGGGAAUAUUGGACAAUGGGCGGAAGCCUGAUCCAGCAAUACCGCGUGUGUGAAGAAGGCCUUCGGGUUGUAAAGCACUUUCAAUUGGGAGGAAAACCUACCGGUCAAUACCCGGUAGCUUGACAUUACCUUUAGAAGAAGCACCGGCUAACUCCGUG